rnacentral:rRNA from 1 species
GGGCCCGACGUCGCAUGCUCCCGGCCGCCAUGGCGGCCGCGGGAAUUCGAUUAGAGUUUGAUCAUGGCUCAGAUUGAACGCUGGCGGCAGGCCUAACACAUGCAAGUCGAGCGGUAGAGAGGUGCUUGCACCUCUUGAGAGCGGCGGACGGGUGAGUAAUGCCUAGGAAUCUGCCUGGUAGUGGGGGAUAACGCUCGGAAACGGACGCUAAUACCGCAUACGUCCUACGGGAGAAAGCAGGGGACCUUCGGGCCUUGCGCUAUCAGAUGAGCCUAGGUCGGAUUAGCUAGUUGGUGGGGUAAUGGCUCACCAAGGCGACGAUCCGUAACUGGUCUGAGAGGAUGAUCAGUCACACUGGAACUGAGACACGGUCCAGACUCCUACGGGAGGCAGCAGUGGGGAAUAUUGGACAAUGGGCGAAAGCCUGAUCCAGCCAUGCCGCGUGUGUGAAGAAGGUCUUCGGAUUGUAAAGCACUUUAAGUUGGGAGGAAGGGCAUUAACCUAAUACGUUGGUGUCUUGACGUUACCGACAGAAUAAGCACCGGCUAACUCUGUGCCAGCAGCCGCGGUAAUACGAAUCACUAGUGAAUUCGCGGCCGCCUGCAGGUCGACCAUAUGGG